UACGGGAGGAGCAGUGGGGAAUAUUGCACAAUGGGCGAAAGCCUGAUGCAGCUAUGCCGCGUGUAUGAAGAAGGCCUUAGGGUUGUAAAGUACUUUCAUCGGGGAGGAAAAAACAAAACUAAUAAUUUUAUUUCUUGACGUUACCCGAAAAAGAAGCACCGGCUAACUCCGUGCCAGCAGCCGCGGUAAUACGGAGGGUGCUAGCGUUAAUCAGAAUUACUGGGCGUAAAGAGCACGUAGGUGGUUUUUUAAAGUCAGAUGUGAAAUCCCUGGGCUUAACCUAGGAACUGCAUUUUGAAACUGAAAUACUAGAGUAUCGUAGAGGGAGGUAGAAUUCUAGGUGUAGCGGUGAAAUGCGUAGAUAUCUGGAGGAAUACCUGUGGCGAAAGCGGCCUCCUAAACGAAUACUGACACUGAGGUGCGAAAGCGUGGGGAGCAAACAGGGAUUAGAUACC
rnacentral:rRNA from 1 species